CGGUCUUUUCCAGCACCUUGACGCCAUGUUUUCUUAAGGCUAAAUUCAUUCUUGUGGGAGUUUGUGAUUUUCAACAUGCAUUAAGCAUCUCUAAACCGCACUAAGUGCCAAAUGCAUAUGUACAACUAAUGCUAUCUCCUCGCUGUCCAUUCUUCAACUGGCCAGCCACUCGGGUCGCACAGCGAGUGGCGAGAAUGUAGGUGGCGCCACCCAGGUCGCUCGUCUGACAGAGGCCUUACGUCAAUGGACAGCGCGUGACGUCAUUUGCCGUGAGGGGCCGCCAGCUAGCUCCGAACCUGGCGCACGUCAGGGUCCUGUCUGCAUCCAUAACAAUAGUUCAAAAUAAAAUACCAAUGAUUAAUUGUGA